UCGGAGUUACUAUGCAGCUUGCUCCUCCACACUUCCUCCUCCCAGGGGAUCAGCGCUAUUUUCCCACCCAGAGCGUCACAUCCAAGGACUCUCUCACCACUGACAGCUCACCAGCAGAGCUCAGCCCACUCAGGUCCCCUGGUGUCAGGCCUCCAGGGCCGUGUGCGGCUCCGACUGAUGGCUGGACCAUAGCCUGUGCCUGCAUUAAGUGCUUGCGGGCCAGGCCCUGUGGAGGAAGCAGCUGGUAUGGGUCAGGUACCUAGUCCUCAGAUGGGCCUGCUUUGCUUCAGUGGCCCUGUUGGGGGCAGCACCAGAGCUGGCUGGCAGCUGGUGAGGGAUCACACUCCUGCAGCCCUACCACCUUCUCCCGCCCACCUCUGGUCUAGGCCCACCCCUUGUGUAAAAGCGCUGUCUGUUCUGCUUCCUGGGAAAUCAGAGAUGUGAACCGGCUUUGGGACGACUAAAGGGCUCUCUCUGAAGACGGACCGGCCACAGCUGUCCCCGCCGGACGCCCGUCACGAGGAAGCGCUCCGAGAGCGUCCACGCCGGGUCCACCUCACCACGCAGGACACCCACGUGCCCCACCAGCCACGUUCCUGGGGCCUGGCCUGGGGGCCGGCUGGGUGCCACGAGGACCCCCACCCCAGAUGAGGCGACUUAGCCAGUUCCUAACCCCUCUGGGUCCCGCAGCUGGGCUGCCUCCACCCAGCGGCUUGCGAGGGCACCAGCACCCGCAGCGGGCGCACUGCGGCGGGCUGCGAUGGGACGGGAGCCAUGAAUGGUGCAGCCCCCGGCCCUGCCGCAGCCGCCCCCGGCCCCGUCCCGGGCC